rnacentral:misc_RNA from 1 species
GUUCAAUCACAACAAUUAUGUUCAAAAUUCAAAUUGACAAUAGUUUGCAACUUGACAAGGCAAGUUUUACAAUAUUCCUAAAUGCCUUCAUAACCCAUAUGACAAUGUCAUGCACUAGCUAGGUGUUUAUUAAUGACAUCAAAUAAAAAAAUAAAAAGAGAAGAGAGAGGGGGAAAAACUUGGGAGCAAUAUUUAUCAUCUCAAAGUUUCUGAAAAGUGCUCAGUCCUUUUUUUUAAUCAAUUAGUGUUGAAUGGGUUUUUAUUGGUCAUUUAAUACUGCUGUGGCAGCAACUAGCAACAAAGAAGGAACAUGGCCUUCUACGAGAAGAAAUUGUGAAUUCCAAAUUAUUGUUAAAACUUUAAAGAAGAAGAAAAAUU